rnacentral:rRNA from 1 species
AAUCAACGCUGGCGGCGUGCCUAACACAUGCAAGUCGCACGAGAAAGGGUCUUCGGAUCUGAGUAAAGUGGCGCACGGGUGAGUAACACGUGAAUUAUCUACCUUCGAGUGGGGAAUAACUUCGGGAAACCGAGGCUAAUACCGCAUAAUAUCUCCGCGUCAAAGCAGUAAUGCGCUUGAAGAGGAGUUCGCGGCAGAUUAGUUAGUUGGCGGGGUAAUGGCCCACCAAGACGAUGAAAUGUAUCCAGCCUGAGAGGGCGCACGGACACACUGGAACUGAAACACGGUCCAGACUCCUACGGGAGGCAGCAGUGGGGAAUUUUGCGCAAUGGGGGAAACCCUGACGCAGCAACGCCGCGUGGAGGAUGAAGUCUCUUGGGACGUAAACUCCUUUCGAUAGGGAAGAUUAUGACGGUACCUAUAGAAGAAGCCCCGGCUAACUUCGUGCCAGCCGCCGCCGUAA